rnacentral:pre_miRNA from 1 species
AUGUGGCACUUUUCGGAUUUCGAGAUUCAAACAAGUCUAUUUUUGACCGUAAGUUUUUCAUACAUCUUUUAAACAUUCUGAAUUAUCAAUUAUUGUGACUUAUAGUACUUUUUAUGUAGUUUACAAAUAUAUAAAUUUCAUUUCAAAAAAAUUAAAGAUUCCAUGCGCAAAUUGCUGGUCAAACUUAAAUUGUUUGACUUUUGAAAAACGAAAAGUGUCACGUAA